rnacentral:rRNA from 1 species
GACGAACGCUGGCGGCGUGCCUAAUACAUGCAAGUCGAGCGGACUUGACUGAAAAGCUUGCUUUUUUGUUCAAGUCAGCGGCGGACGGGUGAGUAACACGUGGGCAACCUGCCUAUAAGACUGGGAUAACUCCGGGAAACCGGGGCUAAUACCGGAUAAUAUCAAGAGCUGCAUGGCUUUUGGUUGAAAGGCGGCUUCGGCUGUCACUUAUCGAUGGACCCGCGGCGCAUUAGCUAGUUGGUGAGGUAACGGCUCACCAAGGCGACGAUGCGUAGCCGACCUGCGAGGGUGAUCGGCAACACUGGGACUGAGACACGGCCCAGACUCCUACGGGAGGCAGCAGUAGGGAAUCUUCCGCAAUGGACGAAAGUCUGACGGAGCAACGCCGCGUGAGUGAAGAAGGUUUUCGGAUCAUAAAACUCUGUUGUCAGGGAAGAACAAGUACGGGAGUAACUGCCCGUACCUUGACGGAACCUGGCCAGAAAGCCACGGCUAACUACGUGCCAGCAGCCGCCGUAAUAC